GAUCAAGUGAAAGAAGGGCAUUUGGUGGAUGCCUUGGCAUGCACAGGCGAUGAAGGACGUGAUACGCUGCGAUAAGCCGUGGGGAGCUGCGAAUAAGCUUUGAUCCAUGGAUCUCCGAAUGGGGAAACCCACCUUAAAUACUUGGAAAAUUUAAGUCGUGCUUAGGUACGGCUUAGGUUUCCAAGUAUUGUUUAAAGGUAUCUUAUUCUGAAUACAUAGGGGUAAGAAGCGAACGCAGGGAACUGAAACAUCUAAGUACCUGCAGGAAAGGACAUCAACCGAGACUCCGCAAGUAGUGGCGAGCGAACGCGGACCAGGCCAGUGGCACUGAGGAAUAAAGUGGAACGACAUGGAAAGGUCGGCCGUAGAGGGUGAUAGCCCCUUACACGUAGAACACUCAGUGUCCUUGAGUAAGGCGGGACACGUGAAAUCCUGUCUGAACAUGGGGAGACCACUCUCCAAGCCUAAGUACUCGUGCAUGACCGAUAGCGAACAAGUACCGUGAGGGAAAGGUGAAAAGCACCCCGACAAGGGGAGUGAAAUAGAACCUGAAACCGGAUGCCUACAAACAGUCGGAGCCCGCAAGGGUGACGGCGUACCUUUUGUAUAAUGGGUCAACGACUUAGUGUGACGAGCAAGCUUAAGCCGAUAGGUGAAGGCGCAGCGAAAGCGAGUCUGAACAGGGCGUUCAGUUCGUCGCAUUAGACCCGAAACCGAGUGAUCUAGCCAUGAGCAGGUUGAAGGUUGGGUAACACCAACUGGAGGACCGAACCCGCAUCUGUUGCAAUAGAUUGGGAUGACUUGUGGCUAGGGGUGAAAGGCCAAUCAAACUCGGAAAUAGCUGGUUCUCCGCGAAAACUAUUUAGGUAGUGCGUCGACCGAAUACCCUCGGGGGUAGAGCACUGGAUGGGCUAUGGGGACUCACCGUCUUACUGAUCCUAACCAAACUCCGAAUACCGAGGAGUACUAGUCGGCAGACACACGGCGGGUGCUAACGUCCGUCGUGAAGAGGGCAACAACCCUGACCUCCAGCUAAGGUCCCCAAGUCAUGGCUAAGUGGGAAAGGAUGUGAGGAUCCCAAAACAACCAGGAUGUUGGCUUAGAAGCAGCCAUCAUUUAAAGAAAGCGUAACAGCUCACUGGUCUAAUUAAGGGUCUUUGCGCCGAAAAUGUAACGGGGCUAAAGCCAUGCACCGAAGCUGAGGAUACGUCGCAAGACGUGUGGUAGCGGAGCGUUCCGUAAGCCUGUGAAGGGAUACCUGUGAGGGGUCCUGGAGGUAUCGGAAGUGCGAAUGUUGACAUGAGUAACGAUAAAGAGGGUGAGAGACCCUCUCGCCGAAAGACCAAGGGUUCCUGCUUAAAGUUAAUCUGAGCAGGGUUAGCCGGCCCCUAAGACGAGGCGGACACGCGUAGUCGAUGGGAACCACGUUAAUAUUCGUGGGCCUGGUGGUAGUGACGGAUUGCUUAACUUGUACAUUCUUAUUGGAUUGGGUGUGCAGGGACGCGGUUCCAGGAAAUAGCUCCACCGUAUAGACCGUACCCGAAACCGACACAGGUGGUCAGGUAGAGUAUACCAAGGCGCUUGAGAGAACUAUGCUGAAGGAACUCGGCAAAUUGCACGCGUAACUUCGGAAGAAGCGUGACCCUUUUU
rnacentral:rRNA from 1 species